UACAGCCAUAAACAAGUGUGGAUUUUGAUUGAAACUCGAAUCCACCCUUCAAAAUUUCAGAAGAUAUCAGAUGUCAGUUUUCCUGAACCAUAUAUAAAUUGCUCCAACUUUUUAUCUGAAAACUACUCAGAUCUUCAUCCACAGAGUUAGUACUUCUUUGGUUUGUGUCCUUAUCCUCUUCUACUUUGGUUGGUGUGUGUCACAUGGACUAGAUUCCCGGGGCAACUGUUUCACUCUUGUCAGGCCCCAGCGGCACUCUUUCUUCUUCUCCUUACAACAGACAACCAUUACUAUAUAGCAGCAGUGCUUGGUGACUCAGCUGCUGGGUGUAGAGGAUAGGAAAACAUCCUUUUCCUACCUUGAAUGCAUGACAAGUAACCCCUGCAGUGUUUGAUUGAGGAAUUUCUAGAACAUGCUGUGUCAUCACAUCAAGUACCAUCCACAUAACAUGUUUUGCAUACAUCUCAGAGCAGUAAAUAGUAAGAUGUCCUGUGAAAUCAACACAUGACAAGCAGUAAGGUCAAACAGAUCAUGAGACAAGUGGACAUUUCUGUUUGUUCAGAUAUAGUUUUCAUCCUCUUAUAGCAUCUUGGCGGUGUACUCCAUUAGAUCAUGAGACAACUGUCUUUGGUAGUCUUGAAUCUAACCCAGAUCUUUAGAUCAAACAUGUUUUUAUCGGUAUGGCAUGUCAGAUAAGAUCUUUCCAGCUCUUUUUCCCAGAAGAACGACAGAUGAACUGUAGUGACCACAGCGAGGUCAAAUUAGCGAAGUUCGGUCUCAUUUGAUUUGAAUGAGGUGCUCCUGAAGAUAAUGCAAUCCAAUCUCUGCAAGUCUUCAAGAAAUGGACAGCCAUGCCGAUAUUCUCAUGAUCAUGAUCUCUGGGUCCCAUUCAUCACCCUCCCAUUGUUAGAGAAAGAGAUAUCUACCAGCCAUUGGUUGCCGGAUGUUUGAUGACUCAUUGACCUUAUCUUCCACAUAAGCUUCUCUUUGCUUCGUCCUUUACGAAAACUAAAAGUAAGCAUCAAUGGGUUCCGAGUGUCCCAGUGUUGGAUCCUUGGAGGAAAAGUCUCUUCCCCAAUGGCUAAAUGUCAUAAAGAUCAUGAAGUCUGAAGAACUUUAACCAUCUCCAUAUGCAUGUGGACCGAGAGAAAUCUUUCAGUAGUACGAGCAAGCAACGUGGUUCUGUAAGUCGUGGGAUGAAAAGGAAAUCUCCAAGCUUUGCUGUCCUGGCCCCAGCAUGGAACAAGGCUGACAAUCUCUAUCUAUGAAACCUUGGCUAAAUCUAAGUCCAUGCAGUUAAUGAUUGCUGAAUUGGGUGCAUGAACUUAGGAAAUGGAGAGGAAGAUGCAAUGAUGUGCUGAAGACAGACCGUGCUAUCAAAUGCAAAAUAUGGAAUAGUAUUGAAUGGCAUAGCCAGCAGAACAUAGCGAAGCACUCAGUCCCAUCUCCAGUUUUGUUUGCAGAAGUCAAUCGAGGUGCGGGUCAGGACAUGAAACAGCUAUCAUCCGAAAUCGAUCACAUGUUGAUCUGAUAACAUCAAAUCUUUCAGAAACCUCAAAGGAAGAAGAAACCAAGUGAUUUGGACCUGUGGAUUUUUAGCCAUCUAACAUUAGUGACCCUGUUUGUGGUGAAAGAGCCACAGGCAGUUUCUUCCCUCAAGCUGAGCUGAGUCGCUGUGUGUUCAUGUUAAUUACACUCUGAGCCAUCUUCUCCAAGCUACAAACUUAGUGAGCAUACGGCCACAGCUCUAAUCAAACACCUUGAGCUGUCUGGUAUGCAAUCUCCAUGACUGCUCUGUGUUUGAGCAAAUACAGAUUUUACCUGAUCAAUACAAAGUCCACGUGCCUUUGCUUUGGAUGCCCUGAGCAGAGAAAACUUGGUCCAAACCUAGGAAUCAUGUUUGGAUCAAUCUAGCUGAGAAGGAAUAAUAUAUGUAGGCAACCAAAGAAAGAAUCAAUUCUAGCUGAGCUGAGCCAACGAUGGAACAAUGCUUAAGAGUCCUAUCUUUCACUGAUCAGUAAAGCCUCACUCGCCUCCCACGGAUACUGGUCUCAGCUAGACAUAUUAUUGAGCUUCGCUUCACCUGUACUCGCUGCCUUCCACAUCUACUUCUCCAUCGGUCAGUCCAAAAGUAAAGCCAGCCAUGCUAGUGUCUUCCGCCGCCGCAGCAGCCUAAGGUCGUCAACUGUCACUGGUCCUGCGUCCUCCGCGACUCUCACUCUUCCUGCGGCAGAUUCUUCCUGCGUCGGAGGAAACCCACGCUCGAUCCUCGCCUCUUCUGCAAGAAGACGAGGAACGGUCGAAACUGAUCAGAUACCUUUACCUUGGUGGAGAAAAGAUUGCCAUUGUUGUCAUCAUCAUGGAUGAAAAAAUCUCAACUAUUUUGACUUUGGAAAAAGGGGGGUUUUCUGUAUACAUAUUAGCAUUCAGAAAUUUGCACAAUUUCAGCUGACUUUGCUCUAAUUGUAAACUUUUUAUCAGCAUGGUUAACAGAACAUGCUCGUACCGGAGUGGUUCAGCUGCUUUGGGUAAACUUGGUUAUGGACAAACUUGGAGCACUUGCAUUAACCACUAGGCCUCCUAAUGAUGAGUAAAUGAAGCAAGCUCCGGUUGGAAGGGAAGGCAAUCAUAUAAGCAAUGCAAUGUAGAGGUCGUCAAUUCGAUGAGCUCUAGAGAGACGGAGAAGAUAGAUGCAUUCCAGGGCAUAGUAAUCGAAUAGCUGUGUAAUUGUGUGUCACUAAUUGCACCAUCAUAUUACAAUCUAUAAAUGUCAAAUUUCUUGGAGAUUUCACAAAUACAACACCAUUGUCAUUCUCCUAGUGAGUGGUAUGCAUGUUGAUUGGAUUCCAUUGGUAUACCCAUUUCUGCCACAGUUAAAAGGAUUCCGAUAUAUUCCAAUCUGAAAAUCCAAAAGCCAAACUGGUGCAGAAGGUAUUGAUUUUAUGCUAUAAUGGCUUCUUUACAUGACUUGAUACAGGUGUUUGUGAAAAAGGACAUAUGAAGCCAGCCAUGAGAAUAUUCUAUGGCAAAUUGGAUUUUAAAUCACUGGUGAUGGUUUGUGGGAGUUUUCCAUGGAACUCAGAUCAUUUGGACUAGGACUAGAUGCAGAGGUCUAACCAUCUUUAAACUGCAGAUUCCUAUUCUUUGGUUAAGAAAUGACCAGUAGAUCGAUCUCUUCUUGUUCACUGAUCCAUAAUGGGUCAAACAAGUCUACAUUAGUUCCAAAUAACUCUUUACUUUGUUCUUCCCUCUAUGCUACCCACAUGUUGGAAGCAGUAAAAAGAACAAAGAUCAAGGAGGUGAUCUUGCAUUUUGCUCCACACACAGAGGAAUUGCAAAGGCAGAAAACAGAAACGAACAAGAUGUGUGUGACAACACUGCAGAGCUAUGUUGGAAGGAUAGAUGCUUUAGUCUUGUUCAAGGUUCACGAGAAGAAGAGGAGGUUUCCUUGUACCUAUGCAUCUUGCUACAUGAAAGUUUCUUUAGUUGCGGCAGAUGUUGGCCAAAGAUGUUCAUUGGUAAAACAAGACAGUAAAAUUUCUGCUCAAGUCUUCUAGUAGAUAUCACUGAAUUCAUUGUUUGGAAAGGACAAGACUCAUCAUCACUGCAUAUACUAGAAGUCCUAAGCCACUGUAUACACCACAAUCAUCACUGCCACCAGUAAAUUCUUUACUUCUAUCUAAUCCUUUUUUUUACAAUGAUAAACCAAAGGCUUAAUGUACUUUCUACCUCAUGGUAAACUGAUCAGCUGCUGUCUUUUCCUCUGCACUCUCAAAAUGUCUCUGCAUCAUUCAUCAGGACCUGGAGAAGUGUUCUCUUGACCAAGUCAAGAUGGAUGUGCCAUUGUUUUCACAUCGAGUUUGGUAACAUUGAUUUGUUUACUUGCUGCUCCUGAGGAGAGAGAGAGAGAGAGAGAGAGAGAUCCUUGGCUUGCAAAGGUUGGCAGGCCACCAUAUGCAGCAGCCUCUCCUUUAGGGGAGCAGUUUGCUGUGUAAAUUCCAGCUGCACAGGCUUUGUUUUUGACUGCAUCUACAUCAAUCAGGGAGCAAGGAAACCCCACUGCAGCAACACCAGCCAUCUGAUCUGAGAUCAGAGAGUGGUGAGAGACAAGGAUGGGAGACUCACACAUGUUCCUCAGUGAAGGAAGGUGAAAGAUAAUGGCACCAUCACAUGCUGCUCUGGUCAGCAUGCUUACAUAAGAAAAGAAACCCACAGCUGCAGGUGGUAGAAGCUGAGGAUAUAGUUUGGCUUUCUUCAUCACUGACCCCCACCCAACUCUUUUAUCUUAUCUGCUGCUGAAUGAUAUGAAACAUUAGAUCUCAAAGUUGAGCUCCAUGGAUCAAUUUACUUAUCAUAUGGAUAAGAAGCUUUUGAAGUGGGCAUCUUGAUCAGUACAACAGACAAAUCUACAUGAAUAGCAGCAAUAUUAGCCCA